rnacentral:rRNA from 1 species
UGCGGUGGUUAAAGCGAUGAGGAUCCACCUCUUCCCAUCCCGAACAGAGCCGUUAAGCUCAUCCGCGCCGAUGGUACUGGCCCACCAGCUGGGAGAGUAGGUCGCCGCCGUUC